rnacentral:rRNA from 1 species
UUUAAAUAGCUGCAGUAAUUUAACUGUACAAAGGUAGCAUAAUAAUUAGUCUUUUAAUUGAGGUCUAGAAUGAAUGGUUUAACAAAAUAAAAACUUUAUUAUUUUAAUUCAAUUUAAUUUAAUUUUUUAGUUAAAAAGCUAGAAUAAUUAGAUGGGACGAUAAGACCCUAUAGAUCUUUAAUUUUUUUUUUAUUAAAAUUUUUUGGUUUUAUUAAGGUUUAAUUUAAUUAAAAUUUCAGUUGGGGUGAUUUAAAAAAUUUAAAACUUUUUAAUAUUUUUUCAUAGAUUAAUGUUUAUUUGAUCUUAAAAUUUAGAUUAUUAGAUUAAGAUACCUUAGGGAUAACAGCGUAAUAAAUUUGAAUAGUUCAUAUUGUUAAAUUUGUUUACGACCUCGAUGUUGAAUUAAUUUUAAAAUUUGAAGCAGAAAUUAAAGUUUUUAGGUCUGUUCGACCUUUAAUUAAUUACA